CCUACGGGUGGCUGCAGUGGGGAAUAUUGGACAAUGGGCGAAAGCCUGAUCCAGCCAUGCCGCGUGUGUGAAGAAGGCCUUCGGGUUGUAAAGCACUUUCAGUGGGGAAGAAAGCCUUGGGGCUAAUACCCUCGAGGAAGGACAUCACCCACAGAAGAAGCACCGGCUAACUCCGUGCCAGCAGCCGCGGUAAUACGGAGGGUGCGAGCGUUAAUCGGAAUUACUGGGCGUAAAGCGCGCGUAGGCGGUCUGAUAAGCCGGUUGUGAAAGCCCCGGGCUCAACCUGGGAACGGCAUCCGGAGGCGGGAAGGAAGGAAGACGGGAGGAGAGGGAAGAACGCCGGGUGUAGCGAGGAAAGGAGUAGAGAUCGGGGGGAAAACGAGUGGGGAGGGCGGCCUAUUGAACAGACACUGACGCUGAGGUGCGAAAUCUGGGGUAGCAAACAGGAUUAGAUACCCCAGUAGUC
rnacentral:rRNA from 1 species